CUCAGGACCAAGACCUGUGGUUGUUACUUGACACUGUUAAAAUCAAAGGAUUGUUUGCAAGUUAAUGCACUACCUUUGUGGGGACAAGCCAGUGUCCUCUGUGAAGUUCUGCAAGAGUUGUGGUUAAGUCCUGCCAUAACACAGUUUUUACACCCUUCUCUUGCCUUCAGAGAAGUUCUUCUUUUGCACAGUGUUUGGCAUGCACUGAAAUUUCUACAUGAAUUGGAAGGCUGCCUGGCCCCAAAGGCUGUUCUGUUGGAGAAGGAAGUUAAGUUACUGCCCCCUGACAGACCUCUCUGUCAACUCUUCAGGAUGUCAAUGCUGAAAUCAAAGACUGCAAGUACAUCCUACCUAGACUGCUCAUGUGACAAGUGACAGGCUGAUGCUAAAGUGACUGCAAUGUCAGCUGCUGAAAGCCUCGGGCAAUGUGCAGCAGGGACUCAGUUUCAUCUCUCCAGCUUGUGUAAGAGCAAGGAGAAUGCCUGCCUCCUGAAGCUGACACCUGGGAAGGAGGGAGUCCCCCUGGUGAAAAGCAAGUAAUGAAGAUGCUCUGCGAAGCAAAAAUCAUCUGAGAGCAGAAAGUAGGG
rnacentral:lncRNA from 1 species